GCCGCUCUCUGUGGGUUGGGAACAUUACAUUGGAAGUUACAGAGAAAGACCUCUGGAUCUCUUUAAAAUGUUUGGUGAGAUUGAGAGCAUCAAAGUUCUUCACGAGCGUUUCUGUGCCUUUGUCAACUUCAAGAAUGCCAACAUGGCUGCCAAAGCCCUGGAGAAGCUGCAGUUGGUCAAACUUUAGACUUGUCUAA